UGGGGAAUAUUGCACAAUGGGCGGAAGCCUGAUGCAGCGACGCCGCGUGAGGGAUGACGGCCUUCGGGUUGUAAACCUCUUUCAGCAGGGACGAAGCGAGAGUGACGGUACCUGCAGAAGAAGCGCCGGCCAACUACGUGCCAGCAGCCGCGGUAAGACGUAGGGCGCGAGCGUUGUCCGGAUUUAUUGGGCGUAAAGAGCUCGUAGGCGGCUUGUCGCGUCGAAUGUGAAAUUUCAGGGCUCAACUCUGACAUUGCAUUCGAUACGGGCAGGCUAGAGUUCGGUAGGGGAGACUGGAAUUCCUGGUGUAGCGGUGAAAUGCGCAGAUAUCAGGAGGAACACCGGUGGCGAAGGCGGGUCUCUGGGCCGAUACUGACGCUGAGGAGCGAAAGCGUGGGGAGCGAACAG
rnacentral:rRNA from 1 species